rnacentral:misc_RNA from 1 species
AAGUCGUAACAAGGUUUCCGUAGGUGAACCUGCGGAAGGAUCAUUAACGAGUUAGGGUCCCUCGUGGCCCGACCUCCCAACCCUUUGUCUACCCGACCACUGUUGCUUCGGCGAGCCCGUCUGUAAUGGACCGCCGGGGGGUACCUUGAUCGGCCCUCUGGUCCGCGCUCGUCGAUAGCCAAACUUUUAAAAUCUUAACCAAACGUGUCUCAAUCUAAGUAUUAUUUGUUAAAUAAAAGCAAAACUUUCAACAACGGAUCUCUUGGUUCUG